AUUGAACGCUGGCGGCAUGCCUUACACAUGCAAGUCGAACGGCAGCACGGGAGCAAUCCUGGUGGCGAGUGGCGAACGGGUGAGUAAUAUAUCGGAACGUGCCCAGUCGUGGGGAUAACGUAGCGAAAGCUACGCUAAUACCGCAUACGAUCUAUGGAUGAAAGCGGGGGAUCGCAAGACCUCGCGCGAUUGGAGCGGCCGAUAUCAGAUUAGGUAGUUGGUGAGGUAAAGGCUCACCAAGCCGACGAUCUGUAGCUGGUCUGAGAGGACGACCAGCCACACUGGGACUGAGACACGGCCCAGACUCCUACGGGAGGCAGCAGUGGGGAAUUUUGGGACAAUGGGCGCAAGCCUGAUCCAGCAAUGCCGCGUGCAGGAUGAA
rnacentral:rRNA from 1 species